rnacentral:lncRNA from 1 species
GUGGUGUUUCUUGGGUCUUACCGUAACUGUGUUACUGGAAGGGAUGAAAGUUUGUGAAUAUAACGCAGAAGUAUUGUACCACCGUGACUAAAAUAACUAAACAAAUGGAUGUGAAGAGAUAAAUAAGAUUCAUUGAGAUGUUUGUACAGUAAAUUCUCUGAUUUACUAAAAAUCAAAAUAUUUUACCAAUUGAGCAAAAGCUGUAUAACAAAUAUCU